rnacentral:rRNA from 1 species
AAACUUAAAUGAAUUGACGGGGCUCGCACAAGCGGUGGAGCAUGUGGUUUAAUUCGAUGCAACGCGAAGAACCUUACCUGGGCUUGACAUCCCGGGAAUCCCCUUGGAAACAAGGGAGUGCCCUUCGGGGAACCUGGAGACAGGUGCUGCAUGGCUGUCGUCAGCUCGUGUCGUGAGAUGUAGGGUUAAGUCCCGCAACGAGCGCAACCCUUGUCUUUAAUUGCCAUCAUUGAGUUGGGCACUUUAAAGAGACUGCCGGUGUUAAACCGGAGGAAGUGGGGAUGACGUCAAGUCCUCAUGGCCUUUAUGCUUAGGGCUACACACGUGCUACAAUGGGUGGUACAAAGAGAAGCCAACUCGCGAGAGCGCGCCAAUCUCAAAAAGCCAUCCUCAGUUCGGAUUGGAGUCUGCAACUCGACUCCAUGAAGUUGGAAUCGCUAGUAAUCGCGGAUCAGAACGCCGCGGUGAAUACGUUCUCGGGGUUU